rnacentral:lncRNA from 1 species
CGCUAACUAAUAUGUUUGUUCUCAGAGGCUUGUCCCAUAUGUAUCCUCUCCUUCUUUUACAUUCAGAGUGAUAUUCAUGCUUUUUAUUGGUCUUUCCAUUCAUGUACCAUAGUACCAAUUUCAUGGCCUUUGACCCAACUUGCCAGAUGAAGCUGUAAAUGAAUUUAGCAGUGACUGUAGAUAUAAGAAUGCUUGUAUUUGCCUUCAUGAAAUUUUAAGAUAAUGUGUAGUUCAGAAAGACAGAGAUCAACAAGUGCAUUUUCAACAUGCAAAAGAGUCAUAAUUCAAAUUUUUGGAGGGAAGAUACUAGAACUAAAGAGCACUUAAUCAUGUAAAUGUGAUAUAAUACGCACUUCAUGGAAACAGGAAGCCCAAGAAACUCCAUAUUCUGGGACAUUAAGGAAUAGAGUUUCUGAACACUUACCACUGCGCACUGCGAAAAUUGAACUGCAUCUUGAACCUUUGAGUUCCAGAUUGCCAUGGAAUAAUCUUAGCUUUGCACCAAAUAGAUAAAAAGAGUAAAUACAAUAGACACCCACUAUGUUAUGAUUAACCAAAAUUGUUCUUAGAUGGUGAAGCAAUGCAUAAAACCAUGUUAUUUUGGUUCUGACACUCAUAAUCAGUAACU